GCAGGGCGAAAGCUGACGCUUAACGCCGCGUGCGGGAAGAACCUUUCGGGUUGUAACCGCUUUCAGCAGGAACGAAAAUGACGGUACUUGCAGAAGAAGGUGCGGUCAACUACGUGCCAGCAGCCGCGGUGACACGUAGGCACCAAGCGUUGUCCGGAUUUAUUGGGCGUAAAGAGCUCGUAGGCGGUUCGGUAAGUCGGGUGUGAAAACUUUGGGCUUAACCCAAAGCCUGCAUCCGAUACUGCCGUGACUAGAGUUCGGUCAGGGGAGUGGGGAAUUCCUAGUGUAGCGGUGAAAUGCGCAGAUAUUAGGAGGAACACCCGGUUGGCGAAGGCGCCACUCUGGGCCGAUAAUGACGCUGAGGAGCGAAAGCGAGGGUAGCAAAACAGGAUUAGAUA
rnacentral:rRNA from 1 species